rnacentral:rRNA from 1 species
AGAGUUUGAUCAUGGCUCAGAUUGAACGCUGGCGGCAGGCCUAACACAUGCAAGUCGAACGGUAACAGGAAACAGCUUGCUGUUUCGCUGACGAGUGGCGGACGGGUGAGUAAUGUCUGGGAAACUGCCUGAUGGAGGGGGAUAACUACUGGAAACGGUAGCUAAUACCGCAUAACGUCGCAAGACCAAAGAGGGGGACCUUCUGGCCUCUUGCCAUCGGAUGUGCCCAGAUGGGAUUAGCUAGUAGGUGGGGUAACGGCUCACCUAGGCGACGAUCCCUAGCUGGUCUGAGAGGAUGACCAGCCACACUGGAACUGAGACACGGUCCAGACUCCUACGGGAGGCAGCAGUGGGGAAUAUUGCACAAUGGGCGCAAGCCUGAUGCAGCCAUGCCGCGUGUAUGAAGAAGGCCUUCGGGUUGUAAAGUACUUUCAGCGGGGAGGAAGGGAGUAAAGUUAAUACCUUUGCUCAUUGACGUUACCCGCAGAAGAAGCACCGGCUAACUCCGUGCCAGCAGCCGCGGUAAUACGGAGGGUGCAAGCGUUAAUCGGAAUUACUGGGCGUAAAGCGCACGCAGGCGGUUUGUUAAGUCAGAUGUGAAAUCCCCGGGCUCAACCUGGGAACUGCAUCUGAUACUGGCAAGCUUGAGUCUCGUAGAGGAGGGUAGAAUUCCAGGUGUAGCGGUGAAAUGCGUAGAGAUCUGGAGGAAUACCGGUGGCGAAGGCGGCCCCCUGGACGAAGACUGACGCUCAGGUGCGAAAGCGUGGGGAGCAAACAGGAUUAGAUACCCUGGUAGUCCACGCUGUAAACGAUGUCGACUUGGAGGUUGUGCCCUUGAGGUGUGGCUUCCGGAGCUAACGCGUUAAGUCGACCGCCUGGGGAGUACGGCCGCAAGGUUAAAACUCAAAUGAAUUGACGGGGGCCCGCACAAGCGGUGGAGCAUGUGGUUUAAUUCGAUGCAACGCGAAGAACCUUACCUGGUCUUGACAUCCACGGAAGUUUUCAGAGAUGAGAAUGUGCCUUCGGGAACCGUGAGACAGGUGCUGCAUGGCUGUCGUCAGCUCGUGUUGUGAAAUGUUGGGUUAAGUCCCGCAACGAGCGCAACCCUUAUCCUUUGUUGCCAGCGGUCCGGCCGGGAACUCAAAGGAGACUGCCAGUGAUAAACUGGAGGAAGGUGGGGAUGACGUCAAGUCAUCAUGGCCCUUACGACCAGGGCUACACACGUGCUACAAUGGCGCAUACAAAGAGAAGCGACCUCGCGAGAGCAAGCGGACCUCAUAAAGUGCGUCGUAGUCCGGAUUGGAGUCUGCAACUCGACUCCAUGAAGUCGGAAUCGCUAGUAAUCGUGGAUCAGAAUGCCACGGUGAAUACGUUCCCGGGCCUUGUACACACCGCCCGUCACACCAUGGGAGUGGGUUGCAAAAGAAGUAGGUAGCUUAACCUUCGGGAGGGCGCUUACCACUUUGUGAUUCAUGACUGGGGUGAAGUCGUAACAAGGUAACCGUAGGGGAACCUGCGGUUGGAUCACCU